CGACUAUUAUUCUCUCACUUGUGGGAGAAGCCAGAGGGAACAUGGGAGCUGUGUCCUGAAUCCUGGGGUGGGGGAGCACCCAGGCCAUCCACAGAUACCCCUCCACCCCGAGGUCCUGGGCACAGCAUUCAAGCUCCCCAGGGCAAGGGGUUCAUUGACCCUGAAGACCAGUUAGGCAGCUCCUGCAGAACCCAGCACACCGGGCCAGACCCAGCAAGGCCCUGUGCUGCCCACGGCACCCACGCUGGCCGGAAGAACAGAGGAUGGCUCGGCACACAUGUGUAUCGACUUCCCAGAUGGCUCAGCGGGUGAAGAAUCAGCCUGUAAUGCAGGAGACUCGGGUUCGAUCUUCGGGUCAUGAAGAUUCCCUGGAGGAGGAAAUGGCAAGCCAUCCCAGUAUUCUUGCCUGAAAAAUCCUAUGGACAGAAGAGCCUGGCAGGCUACAGUCUAUGGGGUCUCAAAGAGUUG
ensembl:lncRNA